ACCUGUGUAGUAUACAGAUGAAGUUAACUUCCAAUACAUGGAAUUGGCAUCGCCUACAUUUAUAUCAACAUAACAUCUCUACAACUGAAUCUACUUAUCUGUCUGCUAUCAAUAUGUUUAAGACUUUUAUCAACAAAUUUUUAUGUGGGAGUGUGUACACAAUAAGUACAUGGACCAGUUAAUCCACGUAGAGGCUUGUGAAUUUGUAUCAUGUCUACAGACACAGAUAAACAGGCGAUAAAACUGUAUCAAAAUAAAUGACCAAAGUAAUAAUAAAUUAUAAUGAUUAAUGAUCUCGAGAAACUAAAACGCAUUACAAGUAGCUUCUAAUAAUAUAAAUAAAAAUAACGAGGACAUAUUAUUAAAACAACACAUCAAUACCCGUACCCGCGUAAUCCAGUUAAGUAUUUAAAAACAUUUGCUCAACAAAAAUAAUCCGGUCUUAUUUUCACUUGACGUCAUCACUUGAUUUUUUAUUAUGCGUGUACUUUAUUGCGUGGGAGUGUACUUUAUUUGAUUAAUAUCAUUAACAAGAGUAAUAAUAUUUACUGUACC